rnacentral:rRNA from 1 species
AUUGAACGCUGGCGGCAGGCUUAACACAUGCAAGUCGAGCGAGCGGCGGACGGGUGAGUAAUGUCUGGGAAACUGCCUGAUGGAGGGGGAUAACUACUGGAAACGGUAGCUAAUACCGCAUACCAUCAGAUGUGCCCAGAUGGGAUUAGCUAGUAGGUGGGGUAAUGGCUCACCUAGGCGACGAGCCCUAGCUGGUCUGAGAGGAUGACCAGCCACACUGGAAGUGAGACACGGUCCAGACUCCUACGGGAGGAAGCAAGGGGGAAUAUUGCACAAGGGGCGCAAGCCGGAUGCAGCCAUGCCGCGUGUGUGAAGAAGGCCUUCGGGUUGUAAAGCACUUUCAGCGAGGAGGCGUUACUCGAAGAAGAAGCACCGGCUAACUCCGUGCCAGCCGCCGCGGUAAUUC